rnacentral:lncRNA from 1 species
AUUGAACUUCCUUAUAACAGCAGUUUUGGACGACCGGUGGAACUCAUUCCUCCCCAGGGGGUCAGGGAGCCGGAUUCCACAGUGACUCGUCGUUCCGAGGGGGAGUGGCCUAUCCUGAGGCAUGGCAGACAGCUGCUCUGCCUGGCAGGGACCGCAGCGGUGACAUCACGCCCUGGGAUAUUUUAAAGAGGGCCGAUGAGCUGGGGAGCGAGCUCGGAGUGGACAGACCAGCAUCAACAGCGCACCGUGAGGGUUGUAUUAGUGUUUUCAAGAGCUCCGGAGAGAAGAGUGGAAUUCCCCCCGGCGACUUUGUACGACAACCUGCUCCCUGAGCCGACCCGCCCCUGAUUCCCCCUCUGGGAUAUGACCUACUAGCCCGUGUUCUUGCAAUGCUGAGGCAUUGCCCCAUACCCCUUUUCGCAUCUUCCGGAUCCCGAAAGAAGAUGCCCAAGGCCUCUGGGAAAGAGAAGGCCCCCCUGGCAACACCGGAGAGCCAGGCCCUGGACAUAGUGGCAGACCCAAAGGUGGUGGUCAAGGUGGCUAAGGAGCCUCCACUGCCCCCGCAGAAAGUGCUCCGGAUCUUCAGCAUCAACAUCAUCACUCAGGGGCUGCCCUUCUGUCGCAGACGGCUCUUAUGUUUGUUCACUUUGUUUUCUAUAUGUGUAAGCCACACAACCCUCCAGGCUCCUUGUCCUCGGACGCAUCAUUUGUCAGUCAAACAUACAUUUGUCAGUCAAACAUGCACCUUCGUCAUGAUACCCUUUGUGACAGGGUGAACGGGUGUUUCAUCACCACUAGGGGGCAAUACUUACCUACAUGUUCACUCCGAGAGAGAGAGAGAGAGAGAGAGAGAGAGAGCACCAUGCAGCAGCUCAGCCCAGUGACAGCCCACCCCCUCCUCAUGUUACUCCUCUGUUACUCACCCUGACUUGUGGUUGGUUGUAGCACCACGACUCAUUCAGCCCUCUGCUUAAUUGCCUGUCCCUGUUCUAUUUACCAGUGUACCGCAUUAGAGGUGCUUUGUACCUGUGCGUUUUAACAAGAUGCUGUGGGAACGUGCCAGGCUAGGCUGAUUAAACGAGCUGCAGUUGAUUGGAUUAGGGCAGUGACACCCUGAAGAGAACCCCUCGGGUCAUCGUUUGGUUUUGUCUGACUGUAGCAGUGUGGACCUUUCCCAGCAACCACUUUGCGUGCUUUGAAACAGUGCCUGUUCUGCUCUCUGCCAACUGGCCAUCUCCCAUACACACACAUUUGUAUGUACG